AUGUCUGUCUCAUUUUGCAUUUUGAAUAUACAAUUCCUCUGUCAGGGUAGCAUGCCUUGCCCUGCCUCCCUCCUCUCUCUCUCUGCCUCUUCCUUCCUUGCUUCCUUCCUUCCUUCCUUCCUUCCUUCCUUCCUUCCUUCCUUCCUUCCUUUCUUCCUUUCUUUCUUUCUUUCUUUCUUUCUUUCUUUCUUUCUUUCUUUCUUUCUUUCUUUCUUUCUUUCUUUCUUUCUUUCUUUCUUUCUUUCUUUCUUUCUUUCUUUCUUUCUUUCUUUCUUUCUUUCUUUCUUUCUUCCUUUCUUCCUUUCUUCCUUUCUUCCUUUCCCCAUCUCUCUCUCACUCUCUCUCCCUUCCUUCAUUUCUUUCAAGUUUUCUAGUUUUAGCUGUGAUUCAAAUAGGUGA
rnacentral:lncRNA from 1 species